rnacentral:lncRNA from 1 species
AAAGGAUUCUCAAUAGAAAGAUCAAUAGAAUACUAACAGAUGAUUUUGUUGUUGAGAUAAAACCUGAUCUGAAGUUAGUUGGGGAAACAUUGUCCGGCCAUCUCCUCCCAUCUCUCAUAUCAGACAUGUUAUAAAUGUCCUCCCAUCUCUCAUAUCAGACGUGUUAUAAAUGUCCUCCCAUCUCUCAUAUCAGACGUGUGAUAUAAAUGUCCUCCCAUCUCUCAUAUCAGACGUCUUAUAAAUGUCCUCCAAUCUCUCAUAUCAGACACGUGGUAUGAAUGUCCUCCCAUCUCUCAUAUCAGACGUGUUAUAAAUGUCCUCCCAUCUCUCAUAUCAGACACGUGAUAUAUAUGUCCUCCCAUCUCUCAUAUCAGACACGUGUUAUAAAUGUCCUCCCCUCUCUCAUAUCAGACACGUGUUAUAAAUGUCCUCCCAUCUCUAUUAUCAGACGUGAUAUAAAUGUCCUCCCAUCUCUCAUAUCAGACGUGUUAUAAAUGUCCUCCCAUCUCUCAUAUCAGACGUGAUAUAAAUGUCCUCCCAUCUCUCAUAUCAGACGUGUUAUAUAUGUCCUCCCA